CUGACUGACUGCCAGAAUAUGAAUAUGAAAUCUUAUGAGGUCGUCUCCUAUUCUUGCCCACUUGUAACCAUACUGUUGACUGACCUGUAUCUACUUGAACUGGGUGUAUGACCUGAAUAACAUAGUCCUUGGGCCUGCUCUUUGGGGUCAGCAAUACCAGAAAUAGGCUCUAAAAAUUGCCAGUAAAGAAAGCCUCCUUUCUUUCUAAGCUGUCUUUCCUGCCAGUAGGUACUUGAACAUACGAGUCCUGUUGGCACUUUGGCAACUGAAGCUAGCCUGAUGAGUCUUAGGUCAGUAGGGUAUCAGGCAGGGUUGGGCUGAGGGAGGGUGUGUGUGUGUGUGUGUGUGUGUGUGUGUGUGUGUGUGUGUUAACUAGAAGGGUCAGACAGGGUGCCCUUGUGACUUCUGAAAGCAAUAAGGGUUUUCCAAAGGGAGCUCCCCCGGAUCCCCACCAGCCAUGGGGGUCUUGACUCCUAUUUCCUUAUUCCUCAUCCUUCAGGUUCCUACUGCUGUCUCUGGAGCAUGGCAGGCUGCUGAGCUUGAGUGGCAGUGUCAAGUAGGAGCUGUGUGUCUUGCCCAGGGGCAGGGAGGGUGUCCAUGGCUGCAGCCAACAGAGGUAAGUGCUGCAGUAAGCCCAGAGUCCGAAGUAUCCGCUUUGCCGCAGGCCAUGAUGCAGAAGGCUCCCAGAGCCACGUCCACUUUGAUGAAAAGCUGCAUGACUCGGUGGUCAUGGUUACUCAGGAGAGUGACAACAGCUUUCUAGUCAAGGUUACAGCAUCAAGUGUGAGUACUCAGCUCACAAAGAAGGUGUCCUCAAAGAGGAGAUGCUCCUGGCCUGCGAGGGUGACAUAGGCACCUGCGUGCAUGUGACGGUGCA
rnacentral:lncRNA from 1 species